CAGUCCGGAAACAACCGCGCAGUCGAGAGAACGGAUGAGAAUCGUGCUCGGCAGAUUUCGAGUACCGGGUUCUCUACCUCCUGGAUCCUGCGCUCCGGGUCCGCUUCCUGGUGCAACUCGAGUUCCAAGACAAGCGCCCCGUAGUUCUUGCUGUCCAGGUCCUUGACCUGGUGACUUUUGACCUUCAGGACUAAUUUUCCGUAGUUCUGGCUGUCCAGGUCGUCUACCUGGUGGAUUUUGACAUCCAGAACAAGCGCUCCGUGGUUUUGGCUGUCCAGGUUCUUGACGUGUUGACUUUGGACUUUGAGGACUAAUUUUCAAGUACACAAGUUUGAUUAUUGAGAACGUCAUGAUUUGUACUAUCAAAUCAGUAUGCAUGCUUCAGAUAACAUUUUGAAUCCGAAAAACAACGAAGGACUAGGAUCAACAAAUUGCAAUUGAUUGGCGGUGGUCGGAGGUGGUAAAAGGUGCUGGGAGGUGGUAGGAGGUGGUGGGGGAUAGUAGGAAGUGGUAGGGGUCGUUGGAGGUGGUCGGAGGUAGACGAGGAAGAGUACGAGGACUUGUGCUCGUUAUAACCCGAGGUGGUUAGCAGUGGUCGUC